rnacentral:rRNA from 1 species
AUUGAACGCUGGCGGCAGGCUUAACACAUGCAAGUCGAACGAGUGGCGGACGGUUGAGUAAUGCUUGGGAAUCUAGCUUAUGGAGGGGGAUAACUACGGGAAACUGUAGCUAAUACCGCGUACCAUAGGCUGAGCCCAGGGGGGAUUAGGUAUUUGGUGAGGUAACGGCUCACCAAGCCGACGAGCUCUAGCUGGUCUGAGAGGAUGACCCGCCACAUUGGGACUGAGACACGGCCCAGAGUCCUACGGGUGGCAGCAGUGGGGAAGAUUGCGCAAGGGGCGAAAGCUGAUGCAUCCAUGCCGCGUGUAUGAAGAAGGCCUUCGGGUUGUAAAGUUCUUUCGGUAGCGAGGCGUUAACUACAGAAGAAGCACCGGCUAACUCCGUGCCAGCAGCCGCGGUAAUAC